rnacentral:rRNA from 1 species
AGUGAACGCUGGCGGUAGGCCUAACACAUGCAAGUCGAACGGCAGCACAGUAAGAGCUUGCUCUUACGGGUGGCGAGUGGCGGACGGGUGAGGAAUACAUCGGAAUCUACUUUUUCGUGGGGGAUAACGUAGGGAAACUUACGCUAAUACCGCAUACGACCUACGGGUGAAAGCAGGGGAUCUUCGGACCUUGCGCGAUUGAAUUAGCCGAUGUCGGAUUAGCUAGUUGGCGGGGUAAAGGCCCACCAAGGCGACGAUCCGUAGCUGGUCUGAGAGGAUGAUCAGCCACACUGGAACUGAGACACGGUCCAGACUCCUACGGGAGGCAGCAGUGGGGAAUAUUGGACAAUGGGCGCAAGCCUGAUCCAGCCAUACCGCGUGGGUGAUGAAGGCCUUCGGGUUGUAAAGCCCUUUUGUUGGGAAAGAAAAACAGCAUGUUAAAACCCCGCUGUUCUGACGGUACCCAAAGAAUAAGCACCGGCUAACUUCGUG